CCGGAUGCUCGUGCGCACCGGAAGUGAGGUUUCUCCGCGAUCGUCGUGUUGUGGUUAUCAACAUUAUUUUUGUUGAUAAUUUGAAAUAGUUUCUCUGAAUGUAAUAGCGCAUUUAUACUUGCGGAGGAGAAAGCCGAAACUUCCUCAUCAGCUGCUGCGUGUCCUCAGAGAGAGAGAGAGAGAGAGAGAAACAGAGUAAUUAAAUAGAGUAAUAUUAGAGAAUAAGCUGAUUAAUUAUUGUCGAAAUGAGUCUUAGCGAGCAGCAAGAGAGCAGCGCAGCACCGCGGGGAACCGCAUGACCACACUACUGGACCAAGAAGAAGAAAACGAGUUUUACAAGACCACCUAUGGAGGAUUCAAUCAGGAGUCUGGAGAUGAUGAGUACAGAGGAGAUCACUCAGACACUGAAGACGAGGUGGACAGUGAUUUUGACAUCGAUGAAGGAGACGAACCCGACAGCGAUCAGGAGGACGACGCUCCGCGCAGAAAGAGCCGCGUGGUCACCAAAGCGUACAAGGAGCCGCUGAAGGUCU